rnacentral:lncRNA from 1 species
GUGUUUAGUGAAUAGAUACAAACCCAUAAUUUGUAGCUUUUGUGUGCAGCCAUACAUGACAGCUGGAUGGUACGUGUGUUAGAGCACGAGAGGUGCCUCCAAGCUUGUUGUAUGUGCUGCUGGUAAGUAUUCCUGUGAACACUG